rnacentral:lncRNA from 1 species
GUCCAAUUAGUAUUUUACUCCAGUCUCUCAAGAUCCUUAUCCCUAGAAUAUAGGCAGCUUCUCCUAGGUCCUUCAUAGAGAAACACUUCCCAAGCUAGGACUUAACUUCCUGUAGAGUUGGGAUGUCAUUUCCUAUGCGUAGUAUGUCAUCCACAUACAAUACCAAAAAGCUAACUAUACUCCCACUAGCCUUGACAUAUACACAAGAUUCAUCUUCACUCCUAGAAAAACCAAAUUCCUUGACCUUUUCAUCAAAGCAAAGAUUCCAUCUGCGAGGUGCUUGCUUCAAUCCAUAAAUGGAUUUCUCAAGCUUACACACUCUAUUAGGGUACUCUGUAUUGACAAAACCCUCUGGCUGACUCAUGUAAACAUUCUCAGCCAACUUUCCAUUAAGGAAAGCGGUCUUGACAUCCAUUUUCCAUAUUUCAUAGUCAUGAAAUGCGGCUAUGGCUAACAGAACCCUAGUAGACUUAAUCUUGGUCACUGGAGAAAAGGUCUCAUCAUAAUCAACUCUCAAAGUUUGUGAGAAACCCUUUGCAACCAGUCGUGCCUUAUAAGUGUGUACCAUACCAUCCAUGUCGGUCUUCUUCUUGAAUAUCCAUUUGCACCCUACAGUCUUACGACCUGGUACAUUCUCAACCAAGUUCCAAACUUGAUUGUCAUACAUGGAUUGUAUCUCGCUGUCCAUUUCCUCUUUCCGCUUGGCUGACUCAGGGCCUGCCAUGGCUUCCGCGUAACAUUUAGGUUCAUCCAGACCAAUCAGUGUCUCAUCACUGAUAAGUGUAUCACCUUCCGCAGUAAUAUGGAAUCCAUAGUAAUGCUCAGGUGCAUUCCUAACCCUUGUGGAACGCCUUAGAGGAAUAGACUUGUAAAUUGGCUCAACAGGAGUUUCCUCCUCAAGUUGAAGUUCCUUCACCACUUGACUCUUGAAUUUCUUCAAGGUCAACUUGCCUCCCACUGUUUCCUUGGCUUAUGAAGUCUCUCUCUCGAAAGACAGCCCUCCUAGCUACAAAGACCACAUUUUCACUAGGUCUUUAGAAGAGGUAACCAAAGGAUUUAUGUGUGUAGCCGAUGAAAAUACACCUCUCACUUCGAGGUUCGAGCUUAUCAUGAGUGUCACGUCUCACGAAAGCCUCGCAACCCCAAAUCUUGAUGUGGUCUAGUUUGGGUACUUUACCAGUCCACAUCUCAUGAGGAGUUUUGGAAACUUUCUUUGUAGGGACUAGAUUAAGGAUAUGGGAGGCAGUCUCUAAGGCAUACCCCCAAAAUGAGAUUGGUAGCGAAGCUCGACCCAUCAUGGAACGAACCAUAUCAAACAAGGUUCGAUUAUGCCUCACAGCUACACCAUUCAACUGCGGUGUCCUGGGAGGUGUCAAUUGUGAGACAAUUCCACAUUCCCUAAGAUAGUCGAGGAACUUUGAACUAAGAUACUCACCACCUCGAUCGGAUCGAAGCAUCUUAAUGUUCCUGCCCAAUUGAUUCUCGACUUCCUGUUUAAAUUCUUUAAACCAUUCAAAGUUCUCUAACUUAUACUUCAUUAAGUAGACAUAUCCAUAUCUACUGUAAUCAUUAGUAAAAGUCAAAUAAUUACGAUUAGCAUCCCUUGUGGCAUGUUUGAAGGUUCCACACACAUCCGUGUGUACGAGAUCCAACAAACCUUCACCCCUCUCAGAAGUAUCUCUGAAGGGUGACUUUGUCAUUUUUCCAAGUAAGCAUGACUCGCAACUAUCAUCUGACUUUAGGUCAGAUGACUCCAAGACUCCAUCCUUUUGGAGUUGGCCUAUGCGUUUCAUUCUUAUAUGUCCAAGAUGACAAUGCCAUAAUGAUGCUUAAUCUAAGCUACUAUCAUUAACAAAAUCAAUACACAAUACAUUAUUUCCUAAGUUAUCAACCAUAGAUACAUUUUCAUACACACCAUCACAAGGUAAUGCUUUAAAAUCAAGAACAUUAUUAAAGAAAGCAUUAAUCGAACCAACUUCAUUAUCAAAUGAAAAGGUAAAACCUUGUUUAUACAAUGCAUGAAAGGAAAUAAUAUUUCUUGGCAUUUCUGGCGAAUAACAACAUUUAUUCAAAUCUAAAUUAAACCCACUACUUAGCGAUAAAGUAUAAACUCCAAUCUUGGUGACAGGUAAAGCUUUCCUAUUCCCCAUGAUCAAGUUUAUUCUUCCUUGCUCCACAUUCUCACUUCUUCUUAGUCCCUGCAAGUCACAACAAAUAUGAAUACCACAACCGGUAUCAAGGACCCAAGAUUUAGAAUGGGGUGAGUUAUUAGAUAUGAUAGUGUAAAUACCUGCAUGGUUGGGUUUAACUUUCCCAUCCUUCACAUCUUGCUGGUAUUUUGGGCAAUUCCGCUUCCAAUGUGAUUUUUCAUGGUAAUAGAAGCAUUCAACCUCUUUUGGGUCAAAAGAAGGAGUGACGAAACCUUUCUUGGUUCCACUUGAAGAAGAGCCAUCAAGGGUCCUAGCUUUGGUACCCUUCGAAAAGAUCUUCCUCUUCUUCCCUCGACCUUUCCCGAUUGCCAAAACCGGGGCGGAGUUUAGAGUAGGAGUGUUAACAACCAACUUACCCUUAAGACCUGUUUCCGUGGUCUUGAGGAGUCCCUGAAGUUUGUUGAGUGUGACCUCUUCCUUAUUCAUGUGAUAUGUCAUCUGGAAUUGAUCAUAGCAUGAUGGUAAGGAGUGCAAAAUGAUAUCUAUUGCAAGCUCCUCAGGGAAGUUCACAUUAGGCUUCAGCAACCGAUCCACAUACCUUUGCAUUUUCUACAUGUGGCUCCUGAUGGAUUCCCCGUCCUUCAUCAUGGUUGUUAUGAUGGAGAAGAUGAUUUCAUACCUCUCUUGUCUUGCACUUUGAUGGUAUCUUUCCAUCUGAUCUUGGUGCAUUUCAAAGGGGUAGAAGUCCUCAUAGGACUUUUGGAGUUCCGUUGUCAUGGUGGCCAACAUGAUGCAUUCCACUUUUGUAGCAUCCCUUUCAUGUGCACGGAAGUCAGCGAUCUCCUGUGGAGUUGUAGUAGUCUCAUCAAUCUCCUUAAGCUCCUUGUCGAGGACAUAUUCUUUGUCCUCGUAUCGGGUAAUCAUCCUGAUGUUUCUGAUCCAUUCAUUUAAGUUGGAUCCAUCAAAGGUGACAUUCCCACAUAAGUUCAUAAUGGUAAAGGAGCCAUUAGGAUUAGAGCCAGAAGCAGCAUUGUUUGAAGACAUCUGAAAGAAGAGAACAAAAUUAGUUUAGAUAUUAAGAGAUUCCUUAAUAAAACACCCAAAUGUAAUAUUAAGGAUACGAUCCAAUCACAAUAUAUUAUAACUUAGAAGAGGUAUGUCGUAAUCCAAGCUAUAACAUAUUUGAAAGGUAGGUAAAUGACAAUUCACCAACUUCCACCAAGAAAAAACGAAAUAUAGAUAUUAGGUUUUUAAUUGGUUCUUAGAAAUUCCUAUAUCUUUUGAGAUUCAAUGAACUUUUUCAAAGGCAUGUUUCAAUCUCGAGUGUGCCCUCCAAGUUUUGUGACUGGGAUACCGAGGAUCAGAAAACAAGGUGUGAAGUAACCAUGAAAAUCACUUGGUACCCUUAAAGUUUAUCACUCAAUCAAUGUGCCGGUAAACCACACAUGCUCCACCAAUACUAUGAUAAACCUUAAGUUACCCUUUACCUACCUUGUUAAGUCCAUGUUACUGUGCCAGUUAACCACACACGCUCCACCAACGACUUAAACAAAGUGUAAAGUGUAAUUUCAUGGAAUAGCACCUUAUUCACAUUUUUCCUAAAGUAACUCAAAUUGGGAAUUUAAUAAAAGAAUUUAUUUACUAGAAUAUAUUCAUCAUACUUUUAAGGAGAAUUUAUAAGACCUUGUCGUACACGUUCGACUAUCGACCCUCCACCGAUCAAGGAAGCGGUGGGUGAGAGUGGACACCUAUUAAGUUGCCAUUUUAUAGGCAACAACCUUAUACCCCUCUUAUAGACCGACUUCGUGAAUGGGGGUACUAGCGGUAUGACGACAUGAUCNNNNNNNNNNNNNNNNNNNNNNNNNNNNNNNNNNNNNNNNNNNNNNNNNNNNNNNNNNNNNNNNNNNNNNNNNNNNNNNNNNNNNNNNNNNNNNNNNNNNNNNNNNNNNNNNNNNNNNNNNNNNNNNNNNNNNNNNNNNNNNNNNNNNNNNNNNNNNNNNNNNNNNNNNNNNNNNNNNNNNNNNNNNNNNNNNNNNNNNNNNNNNNNNNNNNNNNNNNNNNNNNNNNNNNNNNNNNNNNNNNNNNNNNNNNNNNNNNNNNNNNNNNNNNNNNNNNNNNNNNNNNNNNNNNNNNNNNNNNNNNNNNNNNNNNNNNNNNNNNNNNNNNNNNNNNNNNNNNNNNNNNNNNNNNNNNNNNNNNNNNNNNNNNNNNNNNNNNNNNNNNNNNNNNNNNNNNNNNNNNNNNNNNNNNNNNNNNNNNNNNNNNNNNNNNNNNNNNNNNNNNNNNNNNNNNNNNNNNNNNNNNNNNNNNNNNNNNNNNNNNNNNNNNNNNNNNNNNNNNNNNNNNNNNNNNNUUUUUAAUCCAAGAGACUUUUGGUUUUCCAUAACUUGAGGACAAGUUAUGGACUCCAUUAAAACACAUUAUGAUCAUGAAUUAAACUACCAUGAAGGUUACAAAUAAUUCCUAUGAUCAUCUAAUCUUCAUACGUUCAAGAACAUGAAUAUGAACACUUUCAAGAAGCAAAAAUUACACUUAAAAACUUGUAAUUUUGAUAAUUUCCAAUGUAAAUGGAUUAGCAUAAACAUUACACCAUCUAAAAUCAGUUUUAUAACAUCAAAACAAUUUAGGGUAAUGUUUCUAGUCCAUUUCCAGCAGCAAAAGUCGAAAAUCUGCAUUCUGAGGCUCCUACUCGUCGAGUGCACGAACCUACUCGGCGAGUAGGAUGAAUUUACACAUGAACUCAGCAAGUCCCCCAAUGGACUCGGCGAGUUCAGCCGGAAGACAGCACAAUAUCGACUUUUUUUCAACAAUUUUGCACAAAUAACAAACAUACAAGCCUAGUCUCUGAUACCACUGAUGGAUUUUGAGCAUUCUAACACUUCCUAAGUGUACAUGCAACCCUAAUAACCUUGGAUCUAUGUUUGUUUAAUUAUCAUGCAAAGUUGAAUUCCAAGGUUAUAUUCCUAUCUAGCAUACAUGGGGAACAAUUUUAACUUGAAUCAUAGAUAGAAUAACUUACCUUGUUGUUGCUUGUGUUCCUUGAAACCUUGUGAGCCUAGCACCCCAAGUGUGAUGCCUCAAAUGCUUCACACAACACCAAAUGCUCUUGGAAAGACUCUUGAGAUAACACACACUUCUCAAAAUCGGCCAAGCCCUCUAGUUUCUUAGUGUUCAACUUGUGUAGCCAAUUUUGUGGAGAAUGGGACUCUUAUAUAGUGUUGGCACAUCUAGGGUUACACCAUGUAAACCCUAAUGUGUCAUGACUCUUCAUUUCCAUGACCCAUGGGUUUGUAACUCCCAUGGAGCAUCCAUGGAGCAUCCUAUGGGUAGAACCCAACUUGAUAAUCCAUGGAGCCUCUUAGCCCACUAUACAAGAUAUGGAUGAUUUACAUAAUCAACCCAUAUAUUUAAUUAGUUAUCUUUUGAUCACUUAAUUAAUUCUAAACCAAUUCUUGAUCAAACUAAUUAUAUAAUAUUAUUAAUAUAUUAGAACUUAUAAUAUAUUACUAAACCAUAAGUGUUAUUUCUCUCAUUUAGUCUAUCCAAUUGCAAGGUGCCAUGCAACCCAAAUGGACCAUGUCGGGUCGGGUCAAGUACAUACCAGAAACUCAAGAUGUGCUUAACUAGGAAAUUCCUUACACUUAGUCCAAAAACUCAAGAUUUUGGUUAAGACUCAAGAGUUUGGAUUAUUUUUCCACAAAUCAUGAUUAUAAACAAAAAGUUUUGUGUUACCAGGUAUAAGUCACAAAUUAUUAUAUCAACUAUUGGAUUUGCUUCAAGAUUUGCUAAAACAAGUUGUGGACAAAAUAAUUUGAAAAUGAUUAAAUCAAGGAAAUGAAAAUAUUUGGAUCAUUUUUGGCCAAACAUAAAUGCAAUGGUUACCUUGGAAUACUAUGUCAUAGUCAUGACUUUCUAUCAGAUUAACAAACUAUUUGUGACUAUUUAUAAAUAUUUUAAUAUAAAUAAUUUUAUCAAGAACAAUAUACGAAAAUAGAGUUUUCAUGACAAAAAUAUUUGCAUGUCAUAAACUGCUGUCGUAAAACCUUUAGGAACAUAAGUAAUGAUCUAUAUGUCAUAAAACAGAAAAUAUAUGUCAUAAAUCGCAGUCAUAAAUUUACACAAAUUAUAACUUGACACUUUUCUUUUGACUAAUAUGGGCCUGAGCUGACAAUUCAAAGAAAGGAAAGACCAUAUUUGCCAAUUCUGAUAAUGUAGGGUCAUUUUGACGAGAGUUCAAAAUGGCUUAUUUUUCAAUAAACGAAAUGGAACGAACAUGAAGUACCCAAUUAACAAGUACAAAUAACGAUAUGGAACGAGAACGAUAUUUCUAUUCAAUGAGAACUAAUAUCAGUAUUUAUCUAACAAAUAAUGAAUCCCGGACAAUGACUUGAAAGGUUGUCAAUAUUCUAGUCCUGUAAAGAUUUAUAGCCAGAGUCUCUUGGAGGGAAAGCGGGAAUUUGUGUAUAGAUCUAUACGGGGUUGACACCCCGAACCUUCGAUGUUCGCUACAGAUAGACCGGCCAGUCUAGGGUGACAAAUGUCUUUAUCAAACCGAGGGCGCCUAAGAAACGCCAAAACACGCUUCCGUCAUGAUUAGUAUGGUUAUAAUGACUAACUACAAUAUGUUAUAUUAACUAGAAAUUUAUGCAAGGAAAACCUCAUAAAUAAAUUUUGGCACAUUGUGUUGACUGUCCUACGCAUGGUAGUGAUGCUCCGCAUUUGUUAUGUUGACUGUGCUUGUUCAUUACGUAGAAUGUCCACAAUCGCCAUGAUUGAUUUCUUUCACCUAACAAGUAUUAGAGUCUUAUUACUGCUAUUUUACAAAUUAGAAAACGUAGGACUUUAUGGAGAACGUUUGUAUAUAAUUUUGAUAACGAUAAACUAACACACACACAUAUGCAAGUUUACACGGUUGGAAAUAGAACUUACGAAUAUUUUAUAACAGAAAAUAUAGGAUUUUUAAAGAAAAUGAUUUUAUACAAUUUCGGUAACAAUAAACUAGAACGCACACACUCAAUUAUACUCGACAAUUUUGAUAAUGAUUUUUACAACUUUAAUCUCUAUUUGAAAAUAGGAUAUUUUCCGGAAACGGCAAGCUUUAAGUGAGAGAAGACUAGUAGAUGGUUCGAUCUUUGAUGGUAUGAGCAAGGAACUGAAGAAUUCCACAAGGUGGGCAUGUUGGAUUUGAAUACUAGAAUUGUAGGGGUCAUUUGGGAAUACGAGGAAAUGAGGAAUUGGGUUGAUCGUGGGUGUAAGAUUGGAAAUUUUUAAGUUCAUAACUUCAGAGUGUCGUCAGUUGCAAGUGUGCAUGGGAAUUACUCUAGUGAAAUAGGUCGUUGAAUUGGUUGGGUACCCGUUUCGAUAGUUGAGAUUUUGUUCUUUCUCAUCUGAUAAGUUGUGAAGAACUUAUAGCGGAUUCAGUGAAAAGUGCUCGAGAAUAUUGAACUCGUUACGAUUUCAGGAAGUAUUCGUUUAAUAUUUGUAGGUGUGUGUGUGUUUACUAGGAUCGGCUAGUAAUGGAGCGCUAGUACUUGGGGUUUUAGGUUGUCGGCAACUUUGAGUAGUCAGAUUGUGAUAUUGAUUGGAAAUCUAUCAAUUUUAUGGUUGGAAGAGCGCAGUUGAAUCCAAGUGGGGGAGAACCUAUUAGACUAAGGGAUUGCACAAUGAAUGAGAUUUUAGGUUACCUUGCGCAUUAGGGGUGGCACAUAGAGGGUGUGUGAUUAGUUUUAGGUUAAGGGAUUAUGUUAAAGCAUCUUUGCAUGUUCUUUUCUAAUGAAGGCUUAGGGGUUCGAAGCGUAACCUAAACACAUGAUUAGGGUAUAUCCGGAUGAGGUUUGGACUCAUGUUCAUUAUGGUUGGUAUGGUAGAUGCGCUGUAAGAUCAUGGUUUGGGUCCGUGGCAGUGUGGAAGUUUUAUAAGACUUCACGGGGGUUGUAGCAGUCACUAGGUUAGAAGGUAGUGUGGAAAUGUUGUAAGACUUCCGGGGGUAGCAUUCACUAGGUUAGCAGGUAAUGUGGAAGUUUUGUAAGACUAUAGGGUGGUCGUAGUGUUCACUAGGUUAGCAGGUAGUGUGGAAGUGUUGUAAGACUGAGAAGUGGUCGUAGCAUUUACUAGGUUAGCAGGUAGUGAUGGAAGUGUUGUAAGACUGCAGGGUGGUUUUAGCAUUCACUAGGUUAGCAGGUAGUGAUAGAAGUGUUGUAAGAUUGUAGGGUAGUCGUAGCAUCCACUAGGUUGCAACGUAGUAAUAGAGCUGUUGUAAGACUAUGGGAAGGUCGUAACAUUGGUGGAAUCAAGGAAGGAUGUGGUUCAUAUGGAGUCUGUCAUGAUGUAAGAGUACAACUGGAUGUAUAACAUUAAUUUAUAGCAAAGUAAGUUACAUUGAAUCAGUGUGAUCUUUGGUUAUGAUAUCCCUGGUUGGAAUAAGAGGGUUGUUGAAUCUUUAUAUACAAGUAGAUUAUAGUAGCUUGGCAAGACAUAUUCUUCCAAAGAGGCUCGAGGUACAGUCAUUUUAAAGGAUGUCAGUUUCAGCGAUCGGUAAGGAAUCCGAGGCUUCAGAUAAUUGGUGGAUUAGCUCGGAGCUCAAAAGAUCAUGGAUAGAUCAAAAAUGUGAAUCUGGGUCAACAUCAUAAUUUAGGGUCGUAAGAAUUUUGUUUGGAUUAGAUUGCGAAGUGGAGCCAUAUUGGUUGUGUUUUCAAAUAGUUUUGUAUGUCGAUAAGUUAUAUAAGGUAUUGGAUUCUUGGUUUUGAGUCGAGUAGUGAUGGUUGACCUUUAUUGUUCAUGGUCACAGUGAGAGUAAGGAUUUGUCCAUCGUCAAUAUGUGAUUUCUGCUAAGGAUGGGUUCGAUUAUUGGAAGGCCAUCGUAUGUUAGGGUCGACUUUUAUUAGGGAUCUGAUAAGUGGUCGAAGUGUAUAUGUUUUUGGGUAUCUAUAAAUUUGUUUAUGAUAUAUAGGUUUCAGUUCAGGGUUUGAAUUUGAGUCUUUGUGGGAACAGUUUUGAUUGAUUUAGUCUUUCCGAUAGUCCGACAUUGUUCAGGGUUUUCAAUUUCAGGUAUACAGGUUGGAUACUCAUUUGCUUAGGGGAAUAGUUUAGGUUCAUUGUUCGUUAGGGCUUGCAAUAUCUGCUACUUUGGGUUCGACAUCAAAAUGGGUGGGCGGUCAUUAGAGCAAGGUGCCUUCCCCGGUCAUUUUUCGGAAUCAGGGAGUUCAUUUAGGAUUGUUUAGUUCAGUAAUGGAGAUAGUAAGGAAUGAUUUCGAGGACGAAAUCUAAUUUAUGUAGGGGAGAGUUGUAACACCCUGUUUGGGAUCAUUCUAUGAUUUAGGGCCAUGGGCUAGAAGUCGAUUGUGUAAAGGCAUUGGGACUUAAGGAAGCAAUGUUUAAAACUUUUGGAAGGAGGUAACGAUGGUUAUGAGAUCUAAACCUUGGAAUUGUGUUUUGGAGUCAAUGGGUAAAACGGGAAAAGUUAUAGGUUGGCUUCUUGCAUGAAAUAUAGAUUUUUGUUCGAGAAGUUUUUAUUCCAUGAUAUUUAGAUAAUAUUUUAGAGCUCUUCAAUACCUUUCCAUGGAUAUAAAUAUCGUUGAAAACGAAUUAGAAACGAAGAAGUUAUGACCGUUUGAAGUUAGGGCGGUUUUUGGAUUCUCAAAGUGUACGUUGGAUGUACUAUGCCAUCCCUAGUACGUUGGGCGUAAUUUGAGUACGCUGGGCAUAUCCCAUAAAUGCCCAAACCAUAUUUUCAUGGUUUAAGCCUUAUUUAAGCUCCUUAACUUCCCAAACCUAUUAUAUUCUUAGCCCCCACCUCUUCAACACCCUCUAUUAAUUGUAACCCUAAAUUGAGCCUUGUGAACAUAAAUAAGGUGUUUUUUAAUGCUUUGGAUUGUUCUUGGUGCACAUUGGAGAAGAAGGAACUCGUUAAAGAACUUUUGGUUGCAUUGGAGCUUGUAGAUCCAGACUUUGUUCACCUUUAUCUUUCUUCUAGAGGUAUAAAGUUUGAAUCAUGAUGAUAAAAUUGUUAGAUCUAGCUAGUUUUGGUGUUAUGAGCUUUUGGUCACUUUAAGUAUGUAAAGUUUAGAUCUUGAUAUUUUGUGACCUUUUUAUGGAUAAUGUUGGAAACUUUAUCCAUGUAAACAUCAUUUGGUUUCAUAUCUGAAGGUUGGAGACUUGUACAUAAUGGAGUAAGUUGAAAAAGAUGCACUUUUGGGUCCCUUUGAGACUUAAAGACUAGAUCUUGUUUGUUGGGACCAUUCUAAUGGAUAAAGUUAGAAACUUUAUCUAUUAUGGACGCAUUAUGAACCAUAAAAAUGUGAUCUUGGCCCUUCUAUCCAUUCCAUACUAGAUUUCUGAUGUGUUUUUGGGUUAAGAACCUAGGGUUUUGGACAUUAAGCACUUUAUAGCCAUGCUGAGUCAUAAAGUUGGAAAAUUUAUGACUUAGGACAUCAUUUUGGGCUUGGGUCUGACUUUUGGGCGUAAGGGCUUAAGGGAAUAAGCUCUUAAUGGAGUUAUGGGAUUGGGUUGUCUACGUUGGGUGUACCUGGUGGUUCGUUGCGCGUACGUGGUCAGCGCCCCACUUGUGGUCAACAUCAGAGUAUGCUGGGCGUAUUCUUUUGGUAUGCAGGGCAUACUCCACUGGGAAGGAAUAUUGUCUUUUGGACCUUGACCAUUGACUUUUACCAAGUUCGACCUAAGGGAAUUUUCGAUAAUUUGAUUUAUAGUUUGAGAUUUGGGUUAAUGUUAAUUGUAUAGGUGAUCGGUAGAGAUAGCUUUUAUAGCAUUGAUCAGUGCAACUAUUCUUUCAGGAUGUGAGGUGAGUUUUCUUACUGUAUCAAUGGCUCGAAGGCACCAAUGCCGACCCAGUACUCUGUUAUGUAUAAUACUAGUUUUUUGUGUGAUACUUGCAUGAAAGACCAGGAUUUGACCCAUGGAAAAUGUAUGAAAUACCAUGGGGGUAGCCCAUGGCACUUGUAUGUAAGACCGGGAUUUGGCCCUCGGCAUUACAAGGAAAGACCAUAGGGGUAACCCAUGGCACUUGCAUGUAAGACCAGGAUUUGGCCCUUGAAAUUGCAAGGAAAGACCAUGGGGGUAGCCCAUGGCACUUGUAUGGAAGAUCUGGAUUUGGCCCUCAACAUUGAAAGGAAAGACCAUGGGGGUAGCUUAUGGCACUUGUAUGUUAUGGUUUGUGGUACUUUGGGGAAGUCACUAAGCUUUGUGCUUACGGUUUUUAGUUUAUGAUUCAGGUACAUCUAGUACUAAGGACAAGGGUCUGUCAUGAUGCCAGGACAUCCCCCAAAGUUUUUUGCAUUCGCAAUUAAUGAUAUUACUCAGAUGUUUAAAUAUUAUAUUCAUUUUGAUCGGUUUUGGAAGAACUCGGUUUUAUGAUUUACUGUUUUAAAAAUGAAAUUUUUCUUUGGAAUUUUUGGGACGUUACAGAACUCUAAGGCUAGAGGCAUUACAAUCAGACAACACUAUUACCCCAUUCUUGUUGGAUUCCUUAUCCUACCACUAGCUAGCAUGUAAUUCUAUCAGCUCAUCAAAUACUAGCUCUACACUACUCAUAUUAUAAAUUGAGGUAUUUUGGGAAUCUACCACUCGAGAUUUGGUUUAUUAUACACACUACUUCAUUGGGUUAUUCUCCUUUAAAAACCUUCAUUUCUCUAUUAAGUUUUUAUAAAAAAAAGAAUUUGGAUCCUUAGUUUCAGUUUGGAAUCACCCUGAGGUUAAUCUAAAUCCCUCAAACUAAUGUUCUCAUACCAAUUUGUAACACCUCAAAUCUUAGACCAUGUUUUUCAUUUUUAAUUUACCAAAAAUAAAGUUUCACAAACCUAGUCAUCAAACACAUAAUUAUCCAAAACAAUCAUUAUCACAAAAUAUCAAAGUUUCUCAAACUGUUCGAGUAACAAAUAUCCCAGCGAGUGUGUACAAUCAGACCUUCACCUUCCUACGGUCCUCAAGAAGUACCUAAAACACAUAAAUCAACAAUUGUAAGAAAGAAGCUUACUAAGUUCCCCAAGAUACCACAUACAUCACACAUAAAUACACAAACCCUGCGGACUAUCAACAGUCCUAGUGGGCAACAACACGCCCUAUGGGUUAUCAACAACCCUGGAGACUGUUCGUAGUCUCAGUCACACAUAAAUAACAUAAUAUAAAAUAAGAGUUAGACCCAGUUGGUCAUCAGAAAUACAACUAUUCUACCACACAUGUAAGAAUAAGUAAGGAGACCCACCUGAUACUGAUGAGAAGUAAAUCUCACACCCAAACUGUCGGAACUAGACUUUGUGUAAUCAAAGAAAUAAUUAAACCUAAUUAAUAAUUAAGGUCCAAAACUCAACUUGAGAAUACAAAUCCAACAACUAAGUCCUUUAAGGCCAAAAAUACCUUUUCCCAUUCUCAUGGUCCACAACCCCAAUAUUGACCAAAAAGUCAAAAGUAAAUGAAAGUAAAUUGCCCUGCACGUACGCUGGUCGUACUAUUCCUUAUGAGGGAAGUACUACACAACCAACGACCAAUUGGGGAUGAAACUAGCUAUGUGGGACUUAGCUAGGUGUAUGCCCAGCGUACUCCGUCAGAUUCAUCUUUUACCAACUUUUGUGUCUUAAUCCGCUAAGAGAUCUAACCCAACUUAGGACCUAACCAUCCUAGGGUCUCUUAAUCCCUAAAGUCAUCAACUUUAAGCCUUUGUAUGGCUAGAAAGGACCCAAUGCAACAAAUCUAACUUCCAUCACAAUCUAUGUGAUGUUACUCAUGCAUGAGCCUUAGAAAAUGAUCAAGCAACCAUUUUUAUGAAUCUAUAAGUCCUAAAAUGCAUGAAAGGACAACUAAUACUCUCUGGAGUGCUCCAAACUCAUACAGGUCCAAACAUGGAGACAAAAAGCUCAUAAAACUCAUCCAUGGAGAUCAACAAGGAAACUUAUCAAGGUACAAACUUUAUACCCGAAAAAGGUGCACAAUAACGAAAGGUUUCUAGAUCUAUAUGCUUGCAAGCAACAACUCCUCCUUCUCUAGCCUCCUUCUUUAACAGUAUGCACCAAAAUCACUUAAUGAGCUCCCAAGCUCACACAAACAACUUAGACUCGGGAUUAGGGUUUGAGGAGGGAAUGGUGGUUGAUAAGGAUAAUCCAAGGGAGGUAUAAGGUUGUUUAAAUAGGUAGCAACCCUUAAAAUUCGGGUUUAGCGGCCGGGCUAGUACAGCCGGCGUACCACACAUAUGCCCAACAUACUAAAAGAACAUCUGUAAUCUCGCAUUACAUGAGUACGCUGCAUGUACCCUCAAGUACGCCCAACGUACAUCCAAAAUGUAACAUCCGGAUUUCCAAGAAUGAUAAAAUGAUCAUUUAUUUCCGAAGUUAUGAGGAUUAAGUCGACGAGUUGGCGCCUUAACUCGUCAAGUAGGAUCGCGACUUGGUGACGUGGAAAAUGAAUGGCUUCGACGAGUCAGCAAGCUGACUUGCCGAUUCAGCUUUGUUAACAGAAACCCUAAUUCUCUCGGGCAUGGGCCUAUUUAAAGGCACUAUAUCCUCAUUGGCCUUUUCCCAUCAAUGUCUUCGUCCCUUGAUAGAAUCCCUAGUGUUAUUCGUGAGCUAAAGAGGAGAGAGAGACUAAUUGGAGGCCAUUUUUAUUAGAAGAUGGUCAAGGGUGUUGUAAGGAUCUCAAAGGAGAGUUGGUGGAUCACUUUCAUCUUCAUUUAAAGCUUCAAAUCUGGUACAAGCUCUUGUCUCCCUUGUGUUUGAGUAGAUUUCCUUUUGUGGUUAAGUUAGGGCUUGUAUCACCUUAUUGAUGGGGUUUUGGGUGCAUCCAAACCCUUUUUCGAGUUAUUUUGUAGAUCUGGACCUUGUGAGGUCCCGAGAACCUAAAAGUCGGCGGCCAUGACGGAGUAUGUGUUGGGUUUUUAGCAUUCUAACACUUCCUAAGUGUACAUUCAACCAUAAUAACCUUGGAUCUAUGUUUGUCUAAUUAUCAUGCAUAGUUGAUUUCCAAGGCUAUGAUCCUAUCUAGCAUACAUGGGGAACAAUUCAUAACUUGAAUAAUAGAUAGAAUUACAUACCCUGUUGUUGUAGUGUUCCUUGAAACCUUGUGAGCCUAGCACCUCAUGUGUGAUGCCUCAAAUGCUUCACACAACACCAAAUGUAAAGUAUAAACUUGAGAGAAUACUUUAACACACUCAAAAUCGUCCAAGCCCUCUUGGUUCACUUGUGUAUCACUAGUGUAGCCGAUUUUGGGGAGAGACAUGGUCCUUAUAUAGUGUGUUGCAUUAGGUAAAACCCUAAUGUAACAUGACUCUUCAUUUCUCAGUCCAUGGGUUAACUCCAUGGAGCAUCCUAUGGGUGGAACCCAACUUGGUAAUCCAUGGAGCCUUUUAGCCCACUAUAUAGGAUAUGGAAGAUUUACAUAAUCUACCCAUAUAUUUAAUCAGUUAUUCUUUUGAUCACUUAAUUAGUUCUAAAUUAAUUCUUGAUCAAAACUAAUUAAAUAAUAUUAUUAAUAUAUUAGAACCUAUAAUAUGUAAAUAAACCAUAUGUGUUAUUUCUCUCAUUUAGUUUAUCCAAUUGCAUGCUGCCAUGCAACCCAAAUAGACCAUGCCAGGUCAGGUCAAGUAUUUACCAGAAAUUGUUAUGGACUUAGACAACUUAUCCAACAGUCUCCCACUUGGAUAAGUCUAAUAACUAUAACUACAAUACUUCGAGAACCGAUCGACAAUCGUAGCUCUUUCAAGGUCUCUUGGAACUGAGAAGAUGUUGAUACACCAUUUAAUAUAAGUGAUCAUAUAAUCCUCUGUUCUAGAUAUCAGCCGGACAAAUACUUGGAACAAUGUCUUACUUAUUGUCCAGCAGUUUGUUUGUCGAUUUCCGAUUUGUUUGAUAAAGAACUUAAUUGAACACAUCAACUUAGUUUUGACCGGGCCCGGUACAUAGGUCAAAAUAAAAUCCUCGUGGCGCCCAGAUAUCAGCUUCUUAUCCAAGAAGGAACAGAUAAACUUCGACUCAUAUGUUUGUUCUACCACUCAUUGAAUUACACACAAAAGCACGUUUUAUAACAUCGAGUUACCAAUGUGUUUUCGUACAAUCAAUGCAUAACCAACUCGUAAGUAACAAAUCAUAUCUCUAGGUUUGAAGACUUAUAUGAUAUUACCGUCUCACGAUCACUCGAGAUAAAAUUCCAUGAAGUGAUUCCAGUGAGCGUGGGUUGAGUCCAAUGCUCAGAACUUAUGAGCACUCAUGAUUGUUGUAGCCUUGUCCAACACCUUAGACCUCUGCAACCAAUCAUGACAGUCUUGAUUCAUACCUACUUCCGACAUAUGACCGACUGUGGAGGUUUGAAUAAUAUGUUAUACCAAACAAAAUUAUUCUGGAAGUCAAAACAUGCAAAAGAAAUAUAGUAAACGAUCGACAAGAGAUAGCAACACUUUACUCAUAAAUAAAACACCUUUUAUUCAUCAUCUAAUGUCAAUUACACUUUACAAAUUUCAUAAUUUAUCUAACUACUAAAACUUAUAUCAUCCUUCAGCCCUAUGCUCCGAGCAUGCUGGAGAUGCUUAACCCUACUCAGUCCCUUCGUGAGGGGAUCUGCUGGGUUCUCAUCCGAUGAUACCCUCUUUGCCACGAGGAGUCCUUCUUCGAUCCGAUGUCUAAUGAAAUGGUAUUUUCUGUCGAUGUGUCUGGAUCUCCCAUGAUCCCUUGGUUCCUUGGCUAAGGCAACAGCACUUUCACUAUCACAGAAAAUUUCCAUUGGCUCUUUAAUAGCUGGUACAACUCCAAGGUCUCCAAUGAAGUUCUUCAGCCAUAUCGCCUCCUUUGCUGCUUCGCUAGCUGCAAUAUACUCUGAUUCACAAGUAGAAUCUGCCACUGUCUCUUGCUUGGAACUCUUCCAAGAAAUUGCUCCUCCGUUUAGGGUAAAGACCCAGCCCGACUGAGAGCGGAAAUUAUCCCUAUCAGUCUGGAAGCUAGCAUCACUAUACCCUACAACUCUCAAGUCAUCACUCCCACCGAGGGUAAGGACCCAGUCCUUAGUCCUCCGUAGGUACUUGAGGAUAUUCUUUACCGCAGUCCAGUGUGCCUUGCCAGGAUUCCCACGAUACCUGCUAACCAUGCUCACGGAAAAGGCUACAUCAGGUCGAGUACACGUCAUAGCAUACAUGAUCGAGCCUACUGCCGAAGCAUAAGGUACUUGACUCAUUUCUACUAUCUCAGCCUCGGUACUUGGGCUUUGUGUGUUACUCAAUCUGGCGUUACUAUAGAUGGGUAACUCUCCUUUCUUGGAGUUCUGCAUGCUGAAUCUCUUCAACACCUUAUCCAAGUAUGUACUUUGACUAAGUCCAAUUAGUCUUUUACUCCAGUUUGUCAAAAUCCUUAUCCCUAGAAUAUAGGCGGCUUCUCCUAGGUCCUUCAUAGAGAAACACUUCCCAAGCCAGGACUUAACUUCCUGCAGAGUUGGGAUGUCAUUUCCUAUGAGUAGUAUGUCAUCCACAUACAAUACCAAAAAGCUAACUAUACUCCCACUAGCCUUGACAUACACNNNNNNNNNNNNNNNNNNNNNNNNNNNNNNNNNNNNNNNNNNNNNNNNNNNNNNNNNNNNNNNNNNNNNNNNNNNNNNNNNNNNNNNNNNNNNNNNNNNNNNNNNNNNNNNNNNNNNNNNNNNNNNNNNNNNNNNNNNNNNNNNNNNNNNNNNNNNNNNNNNNNNNNNNNNNNNNNNNNNNNNNNNNNNNNNNNNNNNNNNNNNNNNNNNNNNNNNNNNNNNNNNNNNNNNNNNNNNNNNNNNNNNNNNNNNNNNNNNNNNNNNNNNNNNNNNNNNNNNNNNNNNNNNNNNNNNNNNNNNNNNNNNNNNNNNNNNNNNNNNNNNNNNNNNNNNNNNNNNNNNNNNNNNNNNNNNNNNNNNNNNNNNNNNNNNNNNNNNNNNNNNNNNNNNNNNNNNNNNNNNNNNNNNNNNNNNNNNNNNNNNNNNNNNNNNNNNNNNNNNNNNNNNNNNNNNNNNNNNNNNNNNNNNNNNNNNNNNNNNNNNNNNNNNNNNNNNNNNNNNNNNNNNNNNNNNNNNNNNNNNNNNNNNNNNNNNNNNNNNNNNNNNNNNNNNNNNNNNNNNNNNNNNNNNNNNNNNNNNNNNNNNNNNNACCAUAGUAAUGCUCAGGUGCAUUCCUAACUCUCGUGGAACACCUCAGAAGUACAGAUUCGUCAAUUUGCUCAACAGGAGUUUCUUCCUCAAGUUAAGGGCUAGGGUUUGAAGUUCCUUCACCACUUGACUCUUGAAGUUCUUCAAGGUCAAUUUGCCUCCCACUGUCUCCUUGGCUUAAAAAUUCUCUCUCUCGAAAGACUCCUCUUCUUGCUACAAAGACCACAUUAUCACUAGGUCUGUAGAAGAGGUAACCAAAGCAUCUUUGUGGGUAGCCGAUGAAAAUACACCUCUUGCUUUGGGGUUCUAGCUUAUCAUGAGACUCGCACCUCACAAAAGCCUUGCAACCCCAAAUCUUGAUGUGGUCUAGUUUAGGUACUUUACCAGUCCACAUCUCGUGAGGAGUUUUCUCAACUUUCUUUGUAGGGACUAAAUUAAGAAUAUGGGCGGCAGUCUCUAAGGCUUACCCCCAGAAUGAGAUUAGUAGAGAAGCUCGACUCAUCAUGGAACAAACCAUAUCCAACAAGGUUCGAUUACGCCUCUCAGCCACACCAUUUAACUGCGGUGUCGUGGAGGGUGUCAAUUGUGAGACAAUCCCACAUUCCGUAAGAUAGUCGAGGAACUCUAAACUAAGAUACUCACCACCUCGAUCGGAUCGAAGCAUCUUAAUGUUCCUGCCCAAUUGAUUCUCGAUUUCCUGUGUAAAUUCCAUAAACCUUUCAAAAGUCUCUGACUUAUGCUUGAUUAAGUAGACAUAUCCAUAUCUACUGUGAUCAUCAGUAAAAGUCAAAUAAUAACGAUUAGCAUCCCCUGUGGCAUGUUUGAAUGGUGCACACACAUCCGUGUGUAAAAGGUCCAACAAACCUUCACCCCUCUCACAAGAGCCUGUGAAGGGUGACUUUGUCAUUUUUCCAAGUAAGCAUGAUUCGCAACUAUCAUCAGACUUUAGGUCAAAUGACUCCAAGACUCCAUUCUUUUGGAGUUGGCCUAUGCGUUUCUUGCUUAUAUGUCCAAGAGGACAAUGCCAUAAUGAUGCUUUAUGCAAGUUAUUACUAUUAACAGAAUCAAUACACAAUACAUUAUUUCUUAAGUUAUCAACCACAGAUACUGUUUCAUACACGCCAUCACAAGGUAAUGCUUUAAAAUAAAGAACAUUAUUAAAUAAAGCAUUAAUAGAACCAACUUCAUUAUUAAAUGAAAAGGUGAAACCUUGUUUAUACAAUGCAUGAAAGGAAAUAAUAUUUAUUGCCAUUUCUGGCGAAUAACAACACUUCUUCAAAUCUAAACUAAACCCACUACUUAGCGAUAAAGUAUAAACUCCAAUCUUGGUGACAGGUGAAGCUUUCCUGUUUCCCAUGAUCAAGUUUAUUCUUCCUUGCUCCACAUUCUCACUUCUUCUUAGUCCCUGUAAAUCAGAACAGAUAUGAAUACCACAACCGGUAUCAAGGACCCAAGAAUUAGAAUGGGGUGAGUUAUUAGAUAAGAUAGUGUAAAUACCUGCAUGGUUGGGUUUAACUUUCCCAUCCUUCACAUCUUGCUGGUACUUUGGGCAGUUCCGCUUCCAAUGUGCCUUUUCAUGGAAAUAGAAGCAUUCAGCCUCUUUUGGGUCAGAAGAAGGAGUGAUGAAACCUUUCUUGGUUCCACUUGAAGAAGAGCCAUCAAGGGUCCUAACCUUGGUACCCUUCGAAGAACUCUUUCUCUUCUUCCCUCGUCCUUUCCCGAUUGCCAAGACAGGGGCGGAGUUGGUAGGACUAGGAGUAGUAACAACCGCCUUACCCUUAAGACCACUUUCCGCGUUCUUUAAGAGUCCUUGAAGUUUGCUGAGAGUGACCUCUUCCUUGUUCAUGUGGUAUGUCAUGCAGAAUUGAUCAUAACAUGAACGUAAGGAGUGCAAAAUAAUAUAUAUUGCUAACUCCUCGGGGAAGUUCACAUUAAGCUUCAGCAAGCGGUCCACAAAUCUUUUCAUUUUCUGCAUGUGGCCCGUAAUGGGUUCUGCAUCCUUCAUUCGGGUUGUUAUCAUGGAGGAGAUGAUUUCAUACCUCUCUUGUCGUGCACUUUGAUGGUAUCUUUCAAUCAAAUCUUGGUGCAUUUCAAAAGGGUAGUUAUCCUCAUAGGACUUUUGGAGAUCGGCUGUCAUAGUGGCCAUCAUGAUGCAUGCCACCUUGGUGGCAUCCCUUUCAUGUGCCCUAAAGUCAACGAUUUCUUGAGGAGUAGCAACUGUCUCAUCAAUCUCCUUAAGCUCCUUAUUGAGGAAAUAUUCUUUGUCCUCGUAGCGGGUAAUUAUUCGGAUGUUUCUGAUCCAUUCAUUAAAGUUGGAUCCAUCAAAAGUGACUGUCCCACACAAGUUCAUAAGAGAAAAGGAGCCAUUAGGAUUAGAGCCAGAAGCAGCAGUGUUUGCAGACAUCUGAAAAGAAGAAAAGUUUAGUUUAGAAAUAGAGAUAGUCCUUAAUAAAACACCCAAAUGUAGUAUUAAGGCUAGGACCCAAUCACAAUAUAUUAUACUUAGAAGAGGUAUGCCGUAAUCUAAGUAAUAACAUAUUUGAAAGGUAGGUGAAUGACGAUUCACCAAUUUCCACCAAAGUCGAAAUAUUAAAAUAUUUAAUUUGGUUCUUAGAAACUCCUAGAUUCUUUUGAGAUUCAAUGAACUUUUCAAANAGUUUAGAUAUAAGAGAGUCCUUAAUAAAACACCCAAAUGUAAUAUUAAGGCUAGGAUCCAAUCACAAUAUAAUAUAACUUAGAAGAGGUAUGCCGUAAUCUAAGCUAUAACAUAUUUGAAAGGUAGGUGAAUGACGAUUCACCAAUUUCCACCACGAAAAACGAAAUAUUAAAUAUUAGGUUUUUGAUUGGUUCUUAGAAAUUCCUGGAUUCUUUGAUAUUCAAUGAACUUUUCAAAGGCAUGUUUCAAUCUCGAGUGUGCCCUCCAAGUUUUGUGACUGGGAUGCCGAGGAUCACAAAACGAGGUGUGAAGUAACCAUGCAAAUUACUUGGUACCCUUAAUAAAUUACCCCCAAUCAAUGUGCCGGUUUACCACACACGCUCCAUCGAUACUAUGAUAAAUAUUAAGUCACCCUUUACCUACCUUGUUAAGUCCAAGUUAGUGUGCCGGUUAACCACACACACUCCACCAACGACUUAAUCAUAGUGUAAAGUGUAAUUUCAUGGAUUAGCACCUUAUUCAGAUUUUUCCUAAAGUAACUAAGAUUGGGAAUUUAAUAAAACAUUUAGUUACUUUAUAAUAUUCAUCAUACUUUUAAUGAGAAUUUAUAAGUCCUUGUCGUACCCGUUCGGCUAACGACCCUCCACCAGUCAAGCAAGAGGUGGGUGAGAGUGGACACCCAUUAAGUUGCCAUUUUAUAGGCAACAACCUUAUACCCAGCUUAUAGACCGACUUUGUGAAUGAGGCGUAUAUUAUAAGUAUAAGGGUUGAAUUUUAACUUUUAAAAUUCUAAGGGUUGGAACUAAAGUUUUAAUCAAGACUUUACUUGUUCCAAAACUUGAGGGCAAGUUUUGUAAACUUUCAAACUUUUCAUUUCUUGUCACUUAUGAGUUUAUUUGUCACACCCCCGAACCAGACGGCGGAAAUGUCCGAGGGCUGUUGUGACUCAAUUGAAUACCAUCACAGUGAAUAUACAUGAAAUAUAACAUCAUUCAUCACCAUGCAUUAAAAUAGUACAACUGGUAGUGUUUACAUUUAGUACAUUGUUUCAAAACCUUACAUUCCAAAAGUAGAUUGUUCGAUACUAGUUAAACAAACAACAAGACAUCACUGAGUACAUUUUUCCCUUCGAUUUACCUGUUACCUGAGAAUACAAGUAUUUUGAAAAACCUCGACAUAUGAAAUGUUGGUGAGUUCAUAAGUAAUGUUUGAAACAUAAUGUUUUGUAUUGUUUUGAAAACCACUAGAAAAUCCGAUAUUUUCUGAAAAGAGUAUCGUAUAAAAAGUGUGAAGAUCCGUAAGUAUGCUUGUUUGUUUCUAUAAAUGUGAAAAAUUAUUAGACUUGGUAUGCAUCUCGUAGGUGUAUGUGUUGAAAUCCCUUGGAAAACCCGAUGUUUUCCUAAUACUUUGAAAUACGCGUUUUAUAUUUUGUUAUACCGUUGUGACGUGUGUAUUCGGUAAUUUUAGGUGACAUUGGAUUAAUUAUGGAUUGUGAAUUGUUAUAAACACCCAUUAAUGAAAACGACUAGUUUACAACUAUACAAAUGAUCCCUUAGGCGUCGUCCGUACUAUUCACUUAAUCCAACCACCCUAACUUCUCAUAGCCCCACAACCGAGGAGAAAAGAGGGUGCGAAGCCCCCGCUAUUUCCAUAAGUCGUUCAAGGCUAUCGUGAAUGCGAAAGGCCCUUGGCCCGACUCGCAUUGGUGAAUUCUCGACUUUGCUAGCAGUACCAAAAGACCCUUGGGGCCCAACAGCACAAAAGCCAUUGAAAGUCCUUUUACAUGGAAUUAGGUNGUCCUUUUACACGGAAUUAGGUCAUAUAAGACCCAACGACAUGUAAGCGAGUUUCCUUCGGGCCUAAAGAUCAUGUGAUUGGGCUAGCUACGCCCAGCAAGCAUGAUUUGAAACUUUUGGGCCCAAAGAUGGUGUAUCGACGUCUGGUGAAUUCCCAUGUGUGUAUUGAAUUCUCGUAAUUUCAACGUGCGUAUUGUAGUAUCGUCGUGUAUAGAUUUUUAUUCAUUAUUGAUUCGAGACCGAAUCAAUUCGUUUGGUAACGAUUUUUGGUGUUGAAGGUGUAUUAUGUUUCGUCGGUAGUCGUGGUACUAGUAUUUCAUCAUAACGGAUUUAUUGUUUAAAACAUUAGAAUUUUACUUUUUGGAGCCCCUUUCUUUUGGAUAAAUUUACACUUUUGACCCUUUGUAUAAAAGAAUUUCCAUUUUAGUCCUUAAACCAUUUUUCUUGACACUUUAGUAUCAAAACUUGUUGAAAAGGUAUUUUCCAGCUAAAAUUUAUUUGAAAAAUAGUUUUAGUCCCUUAGAAUGAAGUUUUCUCGGUUGAAACCUUCUUUUUCGCAAUUUUUACACUUUUGGCCCAAAAUAGAAAUUUUUUGCAUCUUUGGUCCUUUUUAAAUAUGAAAAGUAUUUUUAACCCUUGAAAUGGACUUGGAGCUCUAGUAGUCCCCUGUUUUACAGAAAAGUAGAGUUUCAGCCCCUCUAAUGUAAAAAUCUCGCAAUUUGGGCUUUAUUGGGCCAAAAAGUUCAUUUUUGGCCCAUUAUGCUUAAAAAUUCACAUUUUAAUCCUUCAAAAGAGUAAAUUUCUAGAAAAUACAUUUUUGAAACUGUUUUGACUCAUCUCAACCAUCACAAUUUGCAUUUUGUCAUUUUGGGCCCUUUUAAUUUAUAUUUUCAACAUUUUGAGCCCAAAAAUGGGUUUUUAGCCCAAAAAUGUUCAUAUUAACCAACUUAGUUAUUUUUCUAGAAAUGGUUUGUGUGUAAUAAUAUGAUUUAUACUUGUUUCAUACAACCUAAUGUAAAUCUCGGUUUUAAGGACUUUUUGACUAGAUCCAACACCACAAUCACAUAAGAACAUAUAUAUAAACAUAGAAAUCACACAAAGCAUACAUAUACUCAUAGAUCUACACAUUUGCUUGUAUUCCCCCGUACAAAACUCAUAAAAACCGAAAAAUAGGGUGUAUGAAGCUCACCUUGAGUUGUGGUUUCGAUUUGAAGAAGAAAAGAGAAGAGUUUGUUGCUAUUUUGGCCCUAGCAACCUUUCGUUGGAAGAUCUCGAAUUCUAGGGGGGUUCUAAGACACAAGAUCAUGAUUUCAUAUGAGUUAAGAAGAGAUUUUUGGAUAUAACAAGGAGUCUAAAGUGUGGAUCAAAGCAUCAAAUUACCUAGAUGAUGAUUCUUGUGGAAAAUCUCUUUGAAAUGCUCUUAAGUCCCGAAAAUUUGAUGAAGAGAGGUGAGGGUGUUCCUUGAGAGAUUUUUAUAAACAAAAAGUGGUUGCAUGGAGAUAUGUGUGUUGCAUGGAAAUCCUAGGUGCAAAAGUGAGGUGGCACCCAACAAAGUCAACCCUCCUUCUUUGUGGGCUUGGGCUGAGAAUGGAGAGGGGAAAGAGGGGAUUUUUGGUCUUUUUGCCCUUAAGACCAUGUUAUAGUUAGGUUGGGUGAUUUUUAGCCCUAUAAAAUAUAAGUGUGAUUUUUAUGCUUUAUUAGGCUAGAUUAGGAUAAUUAUGGUCCAUUCAUAAUAUGGCCCAAAAUGUUGAAAUAAAUGAAAGUGGGUCCAAUUAGAGCCCAUUUAAGAGUUCUAAACCCAAGAUAGUCAAAUUGGAAGCUUAUUGGUCCAUUGGGCCCAAUAAGGAAGUCCUAGUCCAAAAUGGACCUAAACAAGAACUUCUAGGGUUUCCAAUUGCUUGUUGACUAUUUGUAGUGCUUGUAUGGUGUAUUUGAUUGCAAAUUUUGAUGUCAUAAAGUAAGCAUCAGACAUGCUCUUAAGUUUUUGAUUCUAAAUUUUACUUCUGUGUUGUAGUUACAAGGCACAAAAUUUCUAGUUGUGACAUUAUUAGGGUAUUAAAAAAGAAGACUCUUCAUUUUUAUAACCCAUGUGUUCUUUUAAUUGUUUUUAAACAAAGUGACUUUUGGUUUUCCAUAACUUGAGGACAAGUUAUGGACUCCAUUAAAACACAUAAUGAUCAAGAAUUAAUCUACCACAUAGGUUACAAAUAAUUCCUAUGAUCAUCUAAACAUCAUAAGAUCAAGAACAUGAAUAUGAACACUUUCAUGAAUCAAAAAUUACACUUAAAACUUUGUAAUUUUGAUAACUAGUUGUUGUAAAUGGAUUAGCAAAGACAUUACACCAUCUAAAACAAGUUUUCAAGUACCAAAACAGUUUAGGGUAAUGUUUCUAGUCCAUUUCCAGCAACUAAAGUUGAAAAUCUACAUUCUGAGGCUCCUACUCGCCGAGUGCAUGAACCUACUCGGCGAGAAGGUUGAAGAUUCACAUGAACUCAGCGAGUCCCCCCAUGGACUCGGCGAGUUCAUCAGUCAGAUUGCAAAACUAUCGACUUUUUCAACUAUUUAGCACAAAUAACAAACAAACAAGCCUAGGCUCUGAUACCACUGUUGGGUUUUAAGCAUUCUAACACUUCCUAAGUGUACAUGCAACCCUAAUAACCUUGGAUCUAUGUUUGUCUAAUUAUCAUGCAAAGUUUAUUUCCAAGGCUAUGAUCCUAUCUCGCAUACAUGGGGAACAAUUCUUAACUUGAAUAACAGAUAGAAUUACAUACCUUGUUGUUGUAGUGUUCCUUGAAACCUUGUGAGCCUAGCACCUCAAGUGUGAUGCCUCAAAUGCUUCACACAACACCAAAUGCGAAGUAUACACUUGAGAGAAUACUUUAACACACUCAAAAUCGGCCAAGCCCUCUUGUUUCACUUGUGUAUCACUAGUGUAGCCGAUUUUGGGGAGAGACAUGGUCCUUAUAUAGUGUGUUGCAUUAGGUAAAACCCUAAUGUAACAUGACUCUUCAUUUCUCAAUCCAUGGGUUAACUCCAUGGAGCAUCCUAUGGGUGGAACCCAACUUGAUAAUCCAUGGAGCCUUUUAGCCCACUAUAUAAGAUAUGGAAGAUUUACAUAAUCUACCCAUAUAUUUAAUUAGUUAUUCUUUUGAUCACUUAAUUAAUUCUAAAUUAAUUCUUGAUCAAAACUAAUUAAAUAAUAUUAUUAAUAUAUUAGAACUUAUAAUAUAUUAAUAAACCAUAUGUGUNUAAUAAACCAUAUGUGUGAUUUCUCUCAUUUAGUUUAUCCAAUUGCAUGGUGCCAUGCAACCCAAAUGGACCAUGCCGGGUCGGGUCAAGUAUUUACCAGAAAUAGUUAUGGACUUAGACACCUUAUCCAAGAGUAUGUAACACCCAUAAAAUUAUGCCAAAUUUUAAACUUUUAAUACUAACAAAAGUGUCAAAUAUUAAUUGUUUUUACAAAGCGUUUCCAAUCCUUUUAUCAUCAGAGUGUCCCAAAAUAGAUCAUGAGGAUGAGGAGCGGUACGGUCACGCCUUCGCCUUCCCUCGCUCUCCUAAAGUACCUGAAAACAAUAAACUGAAAACUGUAAGCCCGAGGGCUUAGUGAGCUACCCCCAAAAUACCAAUACCACACUGGCAGAAGCCAUAGCCAUAACAAUCAUUCAAACAACAUACAUAUUGGGCCAUCGGCCGGACUGGUCCGCCCUACUGGGCCUACAAUUUACCUGUAUCUAUCCCGAGCCUUCGCCAUGACUGGUCCGCCAUGUGGGCCUACAGUCUCCCCAGACCGCUCAGAGGGUGUGUUGGCCUUCAGCACAAAGCAGGACCGCCUCAACCCAUCCAACCAGCAACUAACCAUGUACGCAUACUUAUAUAUUAUGAGAUAUGAUAUGAUAUGCUAUGCAUGCUAGAGUAGGCUAGGUAUUCAUAUUAGGACAAGAGUGGCCUGAUUUGUGAUACCUUAGCCUAGGAGAUUACUGCUACUAUGAGAUACUUCGAGAGCGAGUAGGUAGUAGUGAGGAGCUUAUGAGUAAUCUACCGGAAGUUAGCCUAUGCUUAGCAGGAUAUAAAGUACUUGUGAUUUGGGAUCCUAGGAAGAGGAGUUAGGGUGAAUGUUGAUGCGGUGUAGAAAGUAGUAUAGGGCCCGUACUACUGGAAGCACCGAAUUAGUGAGCAAUCCAAGUAAGAAUCCUUGGGAUGCUAAGGAACAAGUAAGGCUGAGUGAUCGAGUGCAAGUAUGCUCAAGCGAGUCUUUGAUUUCUUUUAUGUUGGCAGACAUCAUGAUUGGUACACCACACACACCGGAUACCAGCGGUGUUAGUGAUGAUGAGAUUCGCCGUAUGAUUCAUGAUGAGAUGACCGCGCGAUCCGGAAGGCUAAUCCCGAUGAUUCUAAAGUAGCGGAUUGAGAAGUGAUGUCAUGGAUUGAGUACCAUGAUAAGUAGCGGAUUAAGAAGUGAUGACAUGGUUCGAGUGCCAUGAUAAGUGGCAAAUUAAGAAGUGAUGUCAUGGUUCGAGUACCAUGAUAAGUAGCGGAUUGAGAAGUGAUGUCAUGGCUCGAGUACCAUGAUAAGUAGUAGAUUGAAAAGUGAGGUCAUGGUUCAAGUUGUUGGAUAAGGUGUCAAAGUCCAUAACUACUUAUGGUAAAUACUUGACCCGACCCGGCAUGGUCCAUUUAGGUUGCAUGGCACCAUAUAAUUGGAUAAAGUAAAUGAGAGAAAUAACACAUAUGGUUUAUUAAUAUAUUAUAGGUUCUAAUAUAUUAAUAAUAUUAUUUAAUUAGUUUUGAUCAAGAAUUAAUUUAGAAUUAAUUAAGUGAUCAAAAGAAUAACUAAUUAAAUAUAUGGGUAGAUUAUGUAAAUCUUCCAUAUCCUAUAUAGUGGGCUAAAAGGCUCCAUGGAUUAUCAAGUUGGGUUCCGCCCAUAGCAUGCUCCAUGGAGUUAAGCCAUGGAUUGAGAGAUGAAGAGUCAUGUUACAUUAGGGUUUUACCUAAUGCAACACACUAUAUAAGGACCAUGUCUCUCCCCAAAAUCGGGUACACUAGUGAUACACAAGUGAAACAAGAGGGCUUGGCCGAUUUUGAGUGUGUUAAAGUAUUCUCUCAAGUUUAUACUUUGUAUUUGGUGUUGUGUGAAGCAUUUGAGGCAUCACACUUGAGGUGCUAGGCUCACAAGGUUUCAAGGAACACUUACAACAACAAGGUAUGUAGUUCUAUCUUUUAUACAAAGAAAAUUGUACCCCAUGUAUGCUAGAUAGGUUCAUAACCUUGGAAAACAACUUUGCAUGAUUAUUAGACAAACAUAGAUCCAAGGUUAUUAGGGUUGCAUGUACACUUAGGAAGUGUUAGAAUGCUCAAAACCCAACAGUGGUAUCAGAGCCUAGGCUUGCUUGUUUGAUUUUUGUGCAAACUGCUUGAAAAAUCGAGUUUUCUGUUUUCUGCCCAUAUGAACUCGCCGAGUCCAUGGGGGGACUCGACGAGUCCAUGACCAAAUGCAAGCUACUCGUCGAGUCAGUUCAUGCACUCGACGAGUAGAGGCUGCAGUUUUCAGAAUUUCGGUUCUUGUUGCUGGAAAUGGACUAGGAAUAUUACCCUAAACUGUUUUGGUGUUUUAAAACUUGUUUUAGUUGGUGUAAUGUUCAUGUUAAUCCAUUUACAACAACAAGUUAUCAAAAUUACAAGUUUUUAAGUGUAAUUUUUGAUUCAUGAAAGUGUUCAUAUUCAUGUUCUUGAUCUUAUGAUGUUUAGAUGAUCAUAGGAAUUAUUUGUAACCUAUGUGGUAGAUUAAUUCAUGAUCAUUAUGUGUUUUAAUGGAGUCCAUAACUUGUCCUCAAGUUAUGGAAAACCAAAAGUCACUUUGUUUUAAAACCAUUAAAAGAACACAUGGGUUAUAAAAAUGAAGAGUCUUCAUUUUUAAUACUCUAAUUAACUCAUAAGUUACAAGAAAUGAAAAGUUUUGAAAGUUUACAAAACUUGCCCUCAAGUUUUGGAACAAGUAAAGUCUUGAUUAAAACUUUAGUUCCAACCCUUAGAAUUUUAAAAGUUAAAAUUCAACCCUUAUACUUAUAAUAUUAUAAGUUAAUAAUAAUAUAUAUAUGUAUAAGAUCAAAGUCGUCUUACCGCUAGUACGCCUCAUUCACGAAGCCAGUCUAUAAGGUGGGUAUAAGGUUGUUGCCUAUAAAAUGGCAACUUAAUGGGUGUCCACUCUCACCCACCGCUUGCUUGACUGGUGGAGGGUCGUUAGCCGAACGGGUAGGACAAGGACUUAUAAAUUCUCAUUAAAAGUAUGAUGAAUAUUAUAAAGUAACUAAAUGUUUUAUUAAAUUCCCAAUCUUAGUUACUUUAGGAAAAAUGUGAAUAAGGUGCUAAUCCAUGAAAUUACACUUUACACUUUGAUUAAGUCGUUGGUGGAGCGUGUGUGGUUAACCGGCACACUAACUUGGACUUAACAAGGUAGGUAAAGGGUGACUUAGGGUUUAUUAUAGUAUCGAUGGAGCGUGUGUGGUUAACCGGCACAUCGAUUGAGUGAUAAACUUUAAGGGUACCAAGUGAUUUGCAUGGUUACUUCACACCUCGUUUUGUGAUCCUCGGCAUCCCAGUUUCAAAACUUGGAGGGCAAACUCGAGAUUGAAACAUGCCUUUGAAAAGUUCAUUGAAUCUCAAUAGAAUCUAGGAAUUUCUAAGAACCAAAUUAAAUAAUUUAAUAUUUCGACUUUGGUGGAAAUUGGUGAAUCGUCAUUCACCUCAUUCACCUACCUUUCAAAUAUGAUAUAGCUUAGAUUACGGCAUACCUCUUCUAAGUUAUAUUAUAUUGUGAUUGGAUCCUAGCCUUAAUAUUACAUUUGGGUGUUUUAUUAAGGACUCUCUUAUAUCUAAACUAAUCUUGUCCUCUUUCCUUCAGAUGUCUUUCAACAAUGCUUCUGGCUCUAAUCCUAAUGGCUCCUUUUCUCUUAUGAACUUGUGUGGGAAAGUCACUUUUGAUGGAUCCAACUUUAAUGAAUGGAUCAGAAACAUCCGAAUGAUUACCCGCUACGAGGACAAAGAAUAUGUCCUCGAUAAGGAGCUUAAGGAGAUUGAUGAGACAGUUGCUACUCCUCAAGAAAUCGUUGACUUUAGGGCACAUGAAAGGGAUGCCACCAAGGUGGCAUGCAUCAUGAUGGCCACUAUGACAGCCGAUCUCCAAAAGUCCUACGAGGAUAACUACCCUUUUGAAAUGCACCAAGAUUUGAUGGAAAGAUACCAUCAAAGUGCACGACAAGAGAGGUAUGAAAUCAUCUCCUCCAUGAUAACAACCCGAAUGAAGGAUAGAGAACCCAUCACGGGCCACAUGCAGAAAAUGCAAAGAUUUGUGGACCGCUUGCUGAAGCUUAAUAUGAACUCCCCCAAGGAGUUAGCAAUAGAUAUUAUUUUGCACUCCUUACCUUCAUGUUAUGAUCAAUUCCGCAUGACAUACCACAUGCACAAGGAAGAGGUCACUCUCAGCAAACUUCAAGGACUCUUAAAGACCGUGGAAAGUGGUCUUCAGGGUAAGGCGGUUGUUACUACUCCUACUGCUACCAACUCCGCCCCUGUCUUGGCAAUCAGGAAAGGACGAGGGAAGAAGAGAAAGAGUUCUUCGAAGGGUACCAAGGUUAGGACCCUUGUUGGCUCAUCUUCAAGUGGAACCAAGAAAGGUUUCAUCACUCCUUUUUCUGACCCAAAAGAGGCUGAAUGCUUUUUUUGAUGGGUUUUGAGCAUUCUAACACUUCCUAAGUGUACAUGCAACCCUAAUAACCUUGGAUCUAUGUUUGUCUAAUUAUCAUGCAAAUUUGAAUUCCAAGGUUAUAUUCCUAUCUAAUAUACAUGGGGAACAAUUUUAACUUGAAUGAAAGAUAGAAUAACUUACCUUGUUGUUGCUUAUGUUCCUAGAAACCUUGUGAGCCUAGCACCCCAAGUGUGAUGCCUCAAAUGCAUGCCACCUUGGUGGCAUCCCUUUCAUGUGCGCUAAAGUCAACGAUUUCUUGAGGAGUAGCAACUGUCUCAUCAAUCUCCUUAAGCUCCUUAUCGAGGACAUAUUCUUUGUCCUCGUAGCAGGUAAUCAUUCGAAUGUUUCUGAUCCAUUCAUUAAAGUUGGAUCCAUCAAAAGUGACUUUCCCACACAAGUUCAUCAGAGAAAAGGAGCCAUUAGGAAUAGAGCCAGAAGUAGCAGUGUUUGCAGACAUCUGAAGAGAAGAAAAGUUUAGUUUAGAAAUUAGAGAUAGUCCUUAAUAAAACACCCAAAUGUAGUAUUAUGGCUAGGAUCCAUCAAAAGUGACUUUCCCACACAAGUUCAUAAGAGAAAAGGAGCCAUUAGGAAUAGAGCCAGAAGUAGCAGUGUUUGCAGACAUCUGAAGAGAAGAAAAGUUUAGUUUAGAAAUUAGAGAUAGUCCUUAAUAAAACACCCAAAUGUAGUAUUAUGGCUAGCACCCCAAGUGUGAUGCCUCAAAUGCUUCACACAACACCAAAUGCUCUUGGAAAAACCUUUGAGAGAAUACACACUUCUUAAAAUCGGCCAAGCCCUCUAGUUUCUUAUGUGUAGCCGAUUUUGGUGGAGAAUGGGACUCUUAUAUAGUGUUGACACAUCUAGGGUUACACCAUGUAAACCCUAAUGUGUCAUGACUCUUCAUUUCCAUGACCCAUGGGUUUGUAACUCCCAUGGAGCAUCCUAUGGGUAGAACCCAACUUGAUAAUCCAUGGAGCCUCUUAGCCCACUAUACAAGAUAUGAAUGAUUUACAUAAUCAACCCAUAUAUUUAAUUAGUUAUCCUUUGAUCACUUAAUUAAUUCUAAAUUAAUUCUUUGAUCAAACUAAUCAAAUAAUAUUAUUAAUAUAUUAGAACUUAUAAUAUAUUAAUAAUCUCCAAGUGUUAUUUCUCUCAUUUAGUCUAUCCAAUUGCAUGGUGCCAUGCAACCCAAAUGGACCAUGCCGGGUCGGGUCAAGUACUAACCCGAAAUAGUUAUGGACUUAGACACCUUAUCCAACAGUCUCCCACUUGGAUAAGUCUAAUAACUAUAUCUCUAGUACUUCAGGAACCGACCGGCAAUCGUAGCUCUUUCAAGGUCUCUCGGAACUGAGAAGAUGAUGGUACGCCAUUUAAGAUAAGUGAUCAUAUAAUCCUCCGUUCUAGAUAUCAGCCGGACAAAUACAUGGAACAAUGUCUUACUUAUUGUCCAGCAGUUUGUUUCCCGAUUUCCGAUUUGUUUGACAAAGAACUUAAUUGAACACAUCAACUUAGUUCUGACCGGGCCCGGUACAUAGGUCAAAACAAAAUCAUCGAGGGGCCCAGAUAUCAGCUUCUAAUCCAAGAAGGAACAGAUAAACUUCGACUCAUAUGUUUGUUCUACCACUCAUUGAAUUACACACAAAAGUACGUUUUAUAACAUCGAGUUACCAAUGCGGUUUCGUACAGUCAAUGCAUAACCAACUUGUAAGUAACAAAUCAUAUCUCUAGGUUUGAAGACUUAUAUGAUAUUACCGUCUCACGAUCACUCGAGAUAGAAUUCCAUGAAGUGAUUCCAGUGAGCGUGGGUUGAGUCCAAUGCUCAGAACUUAUGAGCACUCAUGAUUGUUGUAGCCUUGUCCAACACCUUAGACCUCUACAACCCAUCAUGACAGUCUUGAUUCAUACCUACUUCCGACAUAUGACCGACUGUGGAGGUUUGAAUAAUAUGUUAUACCAAACAAAAUUAUUCUGGAAGUCAAAACAUGCAAAAGAAAUAUAGUAAACGAUCGACAAGAGAUAGCAACACUUUACUCAUAAAUAAAACACCUUUUAUUCAUCAUCAAAUGUCAAUUACACUUUACAAAUUUCUGGGUUAUCUAACUACUAAAACUUAUAUCAUCCUUCAGCCCUAUGCUCCGAGCAUGCUGGAGAUGCUUAACCCUACUCAGUCCCUUCGUGAGGGGAUCUGCUGGGUUCUCAUCCGAUGAUACCCUCUUUGCCACGAGGAGUCCUUCUUCGAUCCGAUGUCUAAUGAAAUGGUAUUUUCUGUCGAUGUGUCUGGAUCUCCCAUGAUCCCUUGGUUCCUUGGCUAAGGCAACAGCACUUUCACUAUCACAGAAAAUUUCCAUUGGCUCUUUAAUAGCUGGUACAACUCCAAGGUCUCCAAUGAAGUUCUUCAGCCAUAUCGCCUCCUUUGCUGCUUCACUAGCUGCAAUAUACUCUGAUUCACAAGUAGAAUCUGCCACUGUCUCUUGCUUGGAACUCUUCCAAGAAAUUGCUCCUCCGUUUAGGGUAAAGACCCAGCCCGACUGAGAGCGGAAAUUAUCCCUAUCAGUCUGGAAGCUAGCAUCACUAUACCCUACAACUCUCAAGUCAUCACUCCCACCGAGGGUAAGGACCCAGUCCUUAGUCCUCCGUAGGUACUUGAGGAUAUUCUUUACCGCAGUCCAGUGUGCCUUGCCAGGGUUCGCCUGAUACCUGCUAACCAUGCUCAAGGCAAAAGCUACAUCGGGUCGAGUACACGUCAUAGCAUACAUGAUCGAUCCUACAGCCGAAGCGUAAGGUGUUCGACUCAUUUCUGCUAUCUCAGCCUCAGUGCUAGGGCUUUGUGUCUUACUCAAUCUGGUGUUACUCUGGAUGGGUAACUCUCCUUUCUUGGAAUCCUGCAUGCUGAAUCUCUUCAGCACCUUAUCCAAGUAGGUACUCUGACUAAGUCCAAUUAGUCUUUUACUCCGAUCUCUCAAGAUUCUUAUCCCUAGAAUAUAGGCAGCUUCACCAAGGUCCUUCAUAGCGAAACACUUCCCAAGCCAGGACUUUACUUCCUGCAGGGUUGGAAUGUCGUUUCCUAUGAGUAGUAUGUCAUCCACAUACAAUACCAAAAAGCUAACUAUACUCCCACUAGCCUUGACAUACACACAAGAUUCAUCUUCACUCCUAGAAAAGCCAAAUUCCUUGACCUUUUCAUCAAAGCAAAGAUUCCAUCUGCGAGGUGCUUGCUUCAAUCCAUAAAUGGAUUUCUCAAGCUUACACACUCUAUUAGGGUACUCGUUGCUGACAAAACCCUCUGGCUGACUCAUGUAAACAUCUUCAGCCAACUUUCCAUUAAGGAAAGCGGUUUUGACAUCCAUCUGCCAUAUUUCAUAAUCAUGAAAUGCAGCUAUGGCUAACAGAACCCGAAUAGACUUAAUCUUGGCUACCGGAGAAAAGGUCUCAUCAUAGUCCACUCCAGGAAUUUGAGAGAAGCCCUUUGCAACCAGUCUAGCCUUAUAAGUGUGUACUUUACCAUCCAUGUCGGUCUUCUUCUUGAAGACCCAUUUACACCCUACUGUCUUACGACCUGGUACAUUCUCAACAAAGUUCCAAACUUGAUUGUCAUACAUGGACUGUAUUUCGCUGUCCAUUGCCUCUUUCCACUUGGCUGACUCAAGGCCUGCGAUGGCUUUUGCGUAACUGUUAGGUUCAUCCAGACGUAUCAGUGUCUCAUCACUGAUAAGUGUUUCUCCUUCUACAGUAAUAUGGGCCCCUCGAUGAUUUUCUUUUGACCUAUGUACCAGGCCCGGUCAGAACUAAGUUGAUAUGUUCAAUUAAGUUCUUUGUCAAACAAAUCGGAAAUCGAGAAACAAACUGCUGGACAAUUAUAAAGAAAUUGUUCCAUGUAUUUGUCUGGCUAAUAUCUAGAAUAGAGGAUUAUAUGAUCACUUAUCUUAAAUGGCGUAUCAACAUCUUCUCAAUUCCGAGAGACCUUGAAAGAGCUACGAUUGUCGAUCGGUUCCAGAAGUAUUGU